GCUGUGGUAGCUCAGUGGUUAAGACGUUGGAUUUCUGAUCGGAAGGUUGAGUGUUCAAAUGCCAGCGCUACCAAGCU